CCGAAAGGCAGGAGUGCCCGCAAGGGAGCGCGGAGACAGGUGGUGCAUGGCUGUCGUCAGCUCGUGUCGUGAGAUGUUGGGUUAAGUCCCGCAACGAGCGCAACCCUCACCCCUUGUUGCUACCAGGUAAAGCUGGGCACUCUAGGGGAACUGCCCCGGUCAACGGGGAGGAAGGCGGGGAUGACGUCAAGUCAUCAUGCCCCUUACGUCCUGGGCUACACACGUGCUACAAUGGCCGGUACAAAGGGUUGCCACACCGUGAGGUAGAGCUAAACCCAAAAAGCCGGUCUAAGUUCAGAUUGGAGUCUGCAACUCGACUCCAUGAAGGAGGAAUCGCUAGUAAUCGCGUAUCAGCACGACGCGGUGAAUACGUUCCCGGGCCUUGUACACACCGCCCGUCACACCACGAAAGCCAG
rnacentral:rRNA from 1 species